GAGAAGAAAUACAAGCCACUCAACACAACACCUAAUGCCACCAAAGAGAUCAAAGUGAAGAUCAUCCCACCACAGCCUAUGGAGGGCCUGGGCUUUCUGGAUGCUCUCAAUUCAGCCCCUGUUCCAGGCAUCAAAAUUAAGAAGAAGAAAAAAGUACUGUCACCUACGGCUGCCAAGGUAUGGGCUCCCAGAAGUAGGUUUCAGUGACAGAGUAUAAAAGGUAAAGUAGAAGAAAGGGCACAGCAGCUAGGAGUUGUCGGGGAGAACAAGAGGCGUUUUGCCUUGGAUAUAGACUGGUGCAGGUGAGACCAUUGUGGAGACAGAGUCUUCCUUUAUAUAGGAACUGUUGGGGGACUGUGCCUGGGACCCUGGACUAAUUGCCUUGCCCUUGGCUUUCCAGUCAGUUCAUUAACUUCCUUUUCUUUCACAAUAGCCAAGCCCCUUUGAAGGGAAAACGAGCACAGAACCAAGCACAGCCAAACCUUCUUCCCCAGAACCAGCACCACCUUCUGAGGCAAUGGAAGCAGACCGUCCAGGCACCCCGGUUCCCCCUGUUG
rnacentral:sRNA from 1 species